GGGUGAGUAACACGUGAGUAACCUGCCCUUGACUCUGGGAUAAGCCUGGGAAACUGGGUCUAAUACCGGAUACGACCAUCUGACGCAUGUCAUGGUGGUGGAAAGCUUUUGUGGUUUUGGAUGGACUCGCGGCCUAUCAGCUUGUUGGUGGGGUAAUGGCCUACCAAGGCGACGACGGGUAGCCGGCCUGAGAGGGUGACCGGCCACACUGGGACUGAGACACGGCCCAGACUCCUACGGGAGGCAGCAGUGGGGAAUAUUGCACAAUGGGCGCAAGCCUGAUGCAGCGACGCCGCGUGAGGGAUGACGGCCUUCGGGUUGUAAACCUCUUUCAGUAGGGAAGAAGCGAAAGUGACGGUACCUGCAGAAGAAGCGCCGGCUAACUACGUGCCAGCAGCCGCGGUAAUACGUAGGGCGCAAGCGUUAUCCGGAAUUAUUGGGCGUAAAGAGCUCGUAGGCGGUUUGUCGCGUCUGCUGUGAAAGACCGGGGCUCAACUCCGGUUCUGCAGUGGGUACGGGCAGACUAGAGUGCAGUAGGGGAGACUGGAAUUCCUGGUGUAGCGGUGAAAUGCGCAGAUAUCAGGAGGAACACCGAUGGCGAAGGCAGGUCUCUGGGCUGUAACUGACGCUGAGGAGCGAAAGCAUGGGGAGCGAACAGGAUUAGAUACCCUGGUAGUCCAUGCCGUAAACGUUGGGCACUAGGUGUGGGGGACAUUCCACGUUUUCCGCGCCGUAGCUAACGCAUUAAGUGCCCCGCCUGGGGAGUACGGCCGCAAGGCUAAAACUCAAAGGAAUUGACGGGGGCCCGCACAAGCGGCGGAGCAUGCGGAUUAAUUCGAUGCAACGCGAAGAACCUUACCAAGGCUUGACAUGAACCGGAAAGACCUGGAAACAGGUGCCCCGCUUGCGGUCGGUUUACAGGUGGUGCAUGGUUGUCGUCAGCUCGUGUCGUGAGAUGUUGGGUUAAGUCCCGCAACGAGCGCAACCCUCGUUCUAUGUUGCCAGCGCGUUAUGGCGGGGACUCAUAGGAGACUGCCGGGGUCAACUCGGAGGAAGGUGGGGACGACGUCAAAUCAUCAUGCCCCUUAUGUCUUGGGCUUCACGCAUGCUACAAUGGCCGGUACAAAGGGUUGCGAUACUGUGAGGUGGAGCUAAUCCCAAAAAGCCGGUCUCAGUUCGGAUUGGGGUCUGCAACUCGACCCCAUGAAGUCGGAGUCGCUAGUAAUCGCAGAUCAGCAACGCUGCGGUGAAUACGUUCCCGGGCCUUGUACACACCGCCCGUCAAGUCACGAAAGUUGGUAACACCCGAA
rnacentral:rRNA from 1 species